UGUAGAUGUAUAUGUGUAUGUGCAUGUGUUCAGACGUGUAUACUCCAAGUUCUGAAAUGGCUGCCCUAGCAGCAACACACC
rnacentral:miRNA from 1 species